UGUCCAGACUCCUACGGGAGGCAGCAGUGGGGAAUAUUGCACAAUGGGGGAAACCCUGAUGCAGCGACGCCGCGUGAGUGGGGAAGUAUUUCGGUAUGUAAAGCUCUAUCAGCAGGGAAGAAAAUGACGGUACCUGACUAAGAAGCCCCGGCUAACUACGUGCCAGCAGCCGCGGUAAUACGUAGGGGGCAAGCGUUAUCCGGAUUUACUGGGUGUAAAGGGAGCGUAGACGGCUAAUCAAGUCAGAAGUGAAAACCCAGGGCUCAACCUUGGGAGUGCUUUUGAAACUGUCAAACUAGAGUACGGGAGAGGUAAGAGGAAUUCCUAGUGUAGCGGUGAAAUGCGUAGAUAUUAGGAGGAACACCAGUGGCGAAGGCGUCUUACUGGACCGAAACUGACGUUGAGGCUCGAAAGCGUGGGGAGCAAACAGGAUUAGAUACCCUAGUA
rnacentral:rRNA from 1 species